rnacentral:lncRNA from 1 species
CCUGACUCAAGAGCCAGGUGAGCACAGAGCUCCAGGAUUUGGGGCUCAGGGACCCUCUCCCAGCCCUUCUAUCUGGAGGUGGCCUGGGCUUACAGCCAAGCCAGGCUCUCCUUGGGUCCUUCCACAUCCCAGAGGCCCACACUGAGCUUGGCUGCAGCAAGGCUGAUGGCAGGGCCUUCGGGCUCCUGCUGAUUCAUCUUGCUGACUCCAGGCUCGGGGCUGCUACCCAAGGAGGGCCUUAGAGUCCUGAGAGUAUCUCCUGACCAAUCAAUCCUCUCUCCCCUGGGACCGACACUGGUGACUCAGGGAUAGAGUGCACCCGAUGAAAGGUAGUAUUUGUUGUGUGUCUCUCUCCAGCCUUAUCCAUGAGCUCCUUAAUAGCAAGUCACACACCUCCUCCCACGUGCCAGGUGCGUGGUGGGGCUCUGUCAUGCUGGUUGAAUUGAGCAGUGGUUGUGCUGUGUGAUUAUGCUGAAUGUAUGGGGGACUGUGCCGGGAGCAGCCAUCCACGAUCACGUCGCUGGGCUGGAUGGUCCUCCUUGGUUUUAGGUCUUCUCCCAAAGAGGGAAUGGUGGAGGGAUGAUCAUAACAAUAAUAGCCAAAAUAGCAAACAAGUCACAGUACCAGAGGCUGUGGUGACACCUUACGUAUAUGGUCUCUUAAAUUCUCCCAACAGUCCUAUGAGACGGGCACUGUUUUACUCCCUUUUUGCACAUGAGGACACGGAAGCACCUGGCUCACUCUCCUUCAUUCUUCAGGCCUCUGUUUGAAUGUCUUCUCCUUUGGGAAGGCCAACACCCUCUACCUCCAUAACAUUGCAUUUUUGAUACUUCCUGGCUUUUGAUGACUUGUGUCUCUUCCCUGAUCUGUAAGGGCAGGGGCUACAUCUGUCUUGUUCACUAUUGAACCCGUGGUGCCAGGCACUCAGCUGGUAUGGAGUAGAUGCUCAAUAAAUGUGUUUGAAUGAAGGAAUGAACCAAUUCUUACAGCAUCACUUUGUGUCUACAGAAGCAUUCCAUCAGUCUGUGGGGAGGGGAGGCGCUUUCCUCUGUGUCUCCCUGCAGUGUCCACUGAGCCAAGAGGUGUCCCAGACCCAGGCAUCUCUGUUUAAUAAGAAUUCAUUGAGCACCUACUAUAUGCCUGAGUCUACACCGAGUGACAGGAAAGGGACCCCUGACCUCAAGGAAUGUCUAACAUUGAGGACAUGGGAACUAAAGACUAUAUCUUCUGCAAAGAACUCCCUUCAUUUGCAUUUCUCCUAAAGCUGUGUCAUGCUUUGAGAAUGCAUCCUGCAUAGCCUUCUAAGAGUUCUGGGAAGAGAAGAAUGGGCUCCCUGCUCAUCAGGCUUCUCAGCUCCAGAGGACCCUGUUGUGCCCGCCAUGCCUGAGGUAGACUGGUGGAGGUGGUUCAGUUAUGCACGUUCAUGCUGGGAUCCUUCGCUCCCUCCCUUUGAGGACACGAGCAUUUUGGCGAAUUCUGAAGAGCACACGUUUUCCACUUAGCUCAGUCUGUGGCGGGCUCAUGGUGCCUUGGUGCUACUAUCUUUCCAUUUAUCAUCUCAGGCCUCCCUCCCCUUUCCCUGCCCAGCCUUUUUACCUGAUUUAAUUUUCACACCUUAUUCAGUGGCUCUUCAUGGAACUUGUCUGCGUCGUUUUACUUCUCUUCCCUCUGGCGCACGGGUCCUCUCACCAUCUAUCUUCCAGGCCUCCUCCACCCCACAGAACAUUUUGCAAGAAAUGCAAAGAGCUUUCUUUCCACUGUGCAUCUGGGCAGGUGCUGGCCGCCGCUGAAUGGGGUGUGCUACUUAGAGUGUGGGUGUGGGUUUGGGGUGUGUGCGUGGGUUUGGGGCAUGUGCCUCACAUACCUACCCAGGCACAAGUGUAGAACUGACUCCUGCUCUUGCCCCAUUCUCCCUCCAGAAACCACAGGUCACUCUGACUUCCUGCUGGGCGUCCCUACAGAUGUUGGCGGCCCCCUCCUCUCUUCUCCUUGUGCUUAUGAACCAAGCAGCAGAAAGCCCCCUGGUGUUGGGGAGGGAUCGCAAGGAGCGCUUGAGGACGAUCCAAGGCCAGGCGUGGUAGCAUGUGCCUGUAAUCCCAGUGCUUUGGGACACCGAGGCAGGAGGAUCACUCGAGCCCAGGAGUGCGAGGCUGCAGUGACGCUAGACUUCAGGAAGACCCCCCAUUUCUGCUCCCCUCCUGGGCUUGGAGAAGAGUACAGCUGCUCUUGACUGGUGGGACCUUUUGCUGGCUAGGGGUGAUGGGAGAAGCAAGAGAGGGAUCCACACACCUGCGCUUAGCUUUCUAUGACCUGGGCGGAUGGAGGCCAAAGGUAAGGUGGGAUGAGAGAGAAUAAAGACAGGAAGGAAAGGGCUCAGCCAAGAAUGUGUAGUGUUUAAUGCAAUGUCGAUGAAGAGCUCUGCUUACAGCUGUGAUGGUCAUGGGCAGCCACCCUAGACAGGGGCAGGUGGCAGUGCCCUCAGAGAGGGCCCAAGAGGUAACAAGGCCACGGUCAUGCUAGGAGUUCUGGGAGCUGGAUAGAUCCCCAUAGAGGAGCCUGUGUUCCCAAGGCCCCUCUAUGACCACCAGCCUGUGCUGGGCCCGGGACAUGGCCGGCUAAUGUUUGGUUCUGGGUGACCUCCAGCCUUCUGGUUAAGGUCUUGCCUUAGCUCCUGCCUGAGUCGGGGUGGGGAGCUGGAAGGACUCAGCUCCCUGUUCUCCUAAGCUUGCGCUUUCCUUCACUUUCUUGUCGUAUUUCCCCUCUCCCCAGGAGUCACCAGAAGCAUCUUCUCCGCUGGAUAUAAAAGAGAAAUAUUGCGCUUUAGCUGGCUUCAGCAAGAAAGGAAAGAUUCUGUCCUCACCUUGGUGCAUAUGUGGAGAGGCGGGGCAGGCACAGUGCUGUCCUGAACUUGCAUCCUGUGGAGUUGCUGUGGUCUAGAGACAUGUGGAGCAUGGGGUGGAGGAGAGCCAGGUGGGUUUCUGAGGGGGUGAGUGGACUGUGGCCUGAGAGGGGUGUGUGGAGGGCAGAAGUCCUAUGGGAAGAGUGGGAUGAUGGAGAUCUCUUGGGUUAGAAGGGGCUUCUUCUGGUUCUGAAGGCAGUUGCCCAAUAAAGGUGGAUGGGAGCCCAUUCCAGACACCAUCUCGGGGGGUUCGUCUUUUCCUUUUUCUCCACUAGCCUCUUACCUGAUCUUCCAGGGCUAGGUGUCCUUCAGGGGCCAAAGGGGCUGGGGAGUUUCUUGGAAGGCAGAUCAUUAAGAUUUAAUGGGACAUUUCCUGCCAGGCAGAGGGAUUGUAAAAUGCAGCUAAUUUAGAGAGCCAGGGGAUCACAGAGUCAUUUUGCCUUUCGUUGGGAAAGGCCAGACAUGAAAUUAUGCCAAUCCCUGCCCUCCUGUCUUCAGUCCUCCCCAAUUAUACCACUGGGCAGCUGCUGAGCUGGCCCAGAGUAUCUGCUGGACAGAGCCCUUCCCUGCUGGCGGCAGGGGCAGGUGGGUGUUUAGCUGGCUGAGGGCUUAGUGAGGAAAGUGGUGUUGGAGCAGCAUCUACGCAGCCACAAGCCCUUGUGCAGUGCUCGGAUUUCUCAGCUCGGCCCCAGGACCAUAGCCACAGCCCAGACUUCCUUUCCUCCAUCCCCUGUAGUGGCUUCUCAGAGCCUUGGUCUGGCAGGGUCCUUUCCUUUCAGCAGAGUGAGUUGGACAGUUGAAGGAAGUGAGUUGGUAAAGGGGUAGUGGCAAUUGUGUGUCUGUGUGUGUGCAUGUGUGUGCAUGCGUGAGACAGAGACAUAGAGAUGAACAGAGAGACAAAGGCAGGGAGAAGGAGAGAAACACGACCAGAGGGCAGGGAAGUAGAAGGGCACCUGUUGCCUCCCCUGGGGCUGGGCUGUUUGGUUGAAGUUGAUCUCAGCUGUGUGUCUUUACCCAUAGGUGACAGGAAAUGAGAACAUGGAGGGAUAGAUGUGGGCACAGCCUAGGGAGAGGAAAGGGGAGGUGAGAAGUUACAACAGCAGUGGGAUCCUUUGGGGCCCUUGGGCUGAGAUGCUGGAUCAGUGCUGCCCAAGAAGCUGGAGUUUAGAGCUGCUCCUAGGUGUGCAAGGGAAAUAGCCAUAGAUGUGGACACCAAGAGGUUCUGCCACACACAACAUGCAUGACCUCUGUGAGGUCCCAUAAAAAUGAGGAUACCAUUGCAACCUUACACGUAACACAGCUGAAGCUUCUAGAACAUACAGGGCAUCCAGUAAGUCCAUGUUCCACCUUCCCUCCCUUCCAUAGAGGGGGAUACACGGAUGCUUAGUACAGUGCCAGACACAUGCUUGGCACUCAGUACAACUUGGUGGAAUUGGAUUCCGAAUCCCAACAGCCACUCAGCCACUGCCCCUCGGCCUUGGGAGCUGGAGUCAGGCAGAGCUGAGGGUUGCACCCAG